CUGGCCUCCAAGUUUUCUAGGAUGAUGCAAUGUCCAGCCAUCAACACAUUUGUGAAGGAAUUUUUACUCCCUAAAAGAGCGCCCCCCCAUGGCAGGAGAAAAAAGUCCAUUUUUUCUUGUCCCCUAAGGUGAAAAUACACAUUGUUGACUGUCACGCCUGUACGCUUUGGCAAAAUGACACAAAAAUUGACAAUCAUGUGUAUCUCAAUUAGAUCUACGAAAAAGUCAUAGAGCGCGUAUCUGUAUAAUGUACGGUAAAAGGGCUAUUUUGCAUUUUUUGCCGAUUCGCACACAUUGGAAUUUCGCUAACUCCUCCUAAGGCUUUCGUCCCACUGACACCAAAUUUGCUCAGGCCAAUCUACACUCCAUGGCCAUUCAAAGUUGUAAAAAUCAUGACGCUGCACCCCACGGUUUACGUUUUAGGGGGCGCCAAAGAUGACCCAAAUAUACAUUACAGUAGACAAAGUAGUUUUGCCCACUGAGUGGCGCCAAAGGGACUUGUCUGUGGAGUCUGUGAGUCACUAUUGGCCGUUUUUGACUACUUUAGAUUUUACCUUUAUAUUUCCUCUUACAAAAGUUUUACCUUGCCUUGCCUGGUAUCAUUUUUUUCAGUACAACCUCACCUGUGUCAAUGUACAGUUAUUUUAUCAUUUUGACAUACUAUAUUUACACAUUGGACCCAAAUUCACACACAAAACAUAAAAUCCGAGUGGAAAAAAGUAACGUUUUUACUGUGAAAACCACAAAUAUGUGUGAUGAACUGUUUUUAAAACUUAAACUUCAAAUAAAAAUUGUAAACUUCAAAACAUAUGCAAAUUUUUAACAAAGAACAUAGUAAUUUACCUCUAUUUACAUCAAAAUGCAGGCAAUGGCCCAGGUGUUCUUUGUAAAAUUAUUUACAAAACACUGUAUAGUCUCACAAAUGUCACUUUUUAUUUAUGCCAGUACAAAAAAACAUGAUGUAAAUGAUGCAUGAUGUAAAACAUGAUGUAAAAAACUUGUGUAGAUCCUCCUCUAUGUUAGUCCAUGUGUAAUUUUUCCAUAAUUCUUUGUUUUUUGCAGCAUUUUUGUUAGUGUAACUGCAGAUUGUGCUGACAGUGUCUAUGGCAAAAAAAAAAAAAAAAAACUGAAAAUGCCUCAACAUGAACCCCUGGUGGUCUCUGAGGGUGAAACCUGCUAACUGCUGCAGCUCUGUCAGCUUCAGUCUCCCAUGCAGAGCUCGGAGCGCAUGUGUGGCUCUGCACCCUUAGCAGCGUUGCUAACUCCUCAGUAAGGAAAGCCUGCUUCAUGUCAGAGUCUCUAAACUCCAGAAGAAGUCGAUAAAAGUCACUUUCUUUCUAAAAAAGUCGUUAGGGGGUCUGAAAAGUCAUUGAAUCUAACAACAAAGUCGCUAGGUUUGCAACUACGUGUCCCAGACUGCAUCCCUGCUGAGAGUCCCUCCCUCCCUUCUCAUAUUGCAGGAAGAACGUAAGCGCCCGCCCCUUGUCAAUCAGUCACCAUAUAAUUUUGGAUUGGUUGUUGUGGUGAAGUUUUCCACCAGUAGGAGAGAUGUUGUGGUGUGUUUUUUUUUUUCCUUUGGCAAGCCUUUUACGCCUGUAAGACCUGUCGCUAAUGUCUGCAUGCUAUGUUUUCCUGUCUCAUACAGCGCGAUCGAGCGCCGAACGUGAUCAAAAUAAGCAGAAAACAAGUAUCGCGGACAUAAUUUAUCAUAACUCUGGUUUUAUUUGGCCUAUCAACACAAUUUAAAAACUGGUAUAUAGGUUGAGGUCCUCACUUUUGAGAUAAGUUGAAACGGAGUCAACGAGGCUCCGUCUUGCAGCUACAUCCGGUUAAAUAUGUCAUGUGACUUGAACGCACACACACACACAGACACACACACACACACACACACACACACACACACAGACACACACACACACGCACACACACACACUCAGAGUCUGGUUUUUAGCACCUGCAAAAACAUGCUAUUUACAUAUUUGACAAGAAUGCAGAGGCUCCUUUUGCCCCUGAAAAAAAUCAAAUUUCAAACACAACUUGACUGGUCAUUUCUCCAAAAGACAACCAUGAAGCUCCAUCCAAACCUGAAGCAGGCAGUUGGUGCAUGUGUACAGUAACCUGAGGGGAGUGAGGUGACUGCUUCUGAGGAGAACAUGAGCAGUGAAGAUUCACCUUAGAGCUAGAACAGAGACGUGCACAUGAUUAUACAGGGGCAGGGGCUCAAGUUUUUUCCAGUUGUUUAUACAAUAUGGAAAUUAAUGUGAAAUUAAAAAACAAAGUAUUAAUAGAAAGGUAAUGACUGUCCUGAGUAGGUGACAGUGAUAUCCAAUAGGCUAGGCACUCAAGAGGCUGGCUGUGGCAAGUGUAAGUGAAAGCAACACGCACUGGCAGGAAGAACAGCAAACGCCGAUGAAGGAAAAGGGUCUUUGCAGUGAUGGGCGUUACCAGAGAGGGCGAUGGCCAGAGGACACAAAUGGGACGGGGAGGCAGCGCGUUGGGGGGGACGCGACACAGCUCGGGCCCGCCAGUGCCCCAACGGGGUCCUAGUUAUUUUUCCUCCCCUUUGAACUGGAAAAUGGCCCACUUCCCACUGGCGAAAACUCAUGAAAUUUGGCAGGACGACCGGGCCUGGUGAAAAAUUUGAUAUUCCGAAGUCGCCCAAACAAGAAAAUGCAAAAUGGCUCCAUAGCGCCCCCUAAGGUGAAAAUUCACACUAUUGACUGUCACGCCUGUACGCUUUGUCAAAAUGACACAAAAAUUGACACACACAUGUAUCUCAAUAAGAUCUACAAAAAAGUCAGUGCGGGCGUAUCUGUCAAAUGUACGGUUAAAGGGUUAUUUCGCAUUUUUUGCCGAUCCGCACACAUUGGAAUUUCGCUAACUCCUCCGAAGGCUUUCGUUCCACCGGCACCACAUUUGCUCAGGCCAAUCUACACCCCAUGGCCAUUAAAAGUUAUUCAAAUCAUGACGCUGCACCCCACGGUUUAGGUUCUAGGGGGCGCCAAAGAUAACCCUAAGAUCCACAUAUUUAAAAGUCUUAUAACUUUUUAUUUUUGCCCUCACUGGCCUCCAAGUUUUCUAGGAUGAUGCAAUGUCCAGCCAUCAACACAUUUGUGAAGGAAUUUUUACUCCCCAAAAGAGCGCCCCCCCAUGGCAGGAGAAAAAAGUCCAUUUUUUCUUGUCCCCUAAGGUGAAAAUACACAUUGUUGAGUUUAACACCUGUACGCUUUGGCAAAAUGACACCAAAAAUGACACACACAUGUAUCUCAAUAAGAUCUACGAAAAAGUCAAUGCGCGCGUAUCUGUCAAAUGUACGGUUAAUGGGUUAUUUCGCAUUUUUUGCCGAUCCGCACACAUUGGAAUUUCGCUAACUCCUCCGAAGGCUUUCAUUCCACCGGUACCACAUUUGCUCAGGCCAAUCUACACCCCAUGGCCAUUAAAAGUUAUUCAAAUCAUGACGCUGCAUCCCACGGUUUAGGUUCUAGGGGGCGCCAAAGAUAACCCUAAAAUCCACAUAUUUAAAAGUCUUAUAACUUUUUAUUUUUGUCCUCACUGGCCUCCAAGUUUUCUAGGAUGAUGCAAUGUCCAGCCAUCAACACAUUUGUGAAGGAAUUUUUACUCCCCAAAAGAGCGCCCCCCCAUGGCAGGAAAAAAAAGCCAAUUUUUUCUUGUCCCCUAAGGUGGAAAUUCACACUAUUGACUGUCACGCCUGUACGCUUUAUCAUAUUGACACAAAAAUUGACACACAUAUGUAUCUCAAUAAGAUCUACAAAAGAGUCGAUUCGCGCGUAUCUGUCAAAUGUACGGUUAAAGGGCUAUUUUGCAUUUUUUGCCGAUUCGCACACAUUGGAAUGUGGCUAACUCCUCCUAAGGCUUUCGUCCCACUGACACCAAAUUUGCUCAGGCCAAUCUACACCCCAUGGCCAUUCAAAGUUGUAAAAAUCAUGACGCUGCACCCCACGGUUUACGUUCUAGGGGGCGCCAAAGAUGACCCAAAAAUCCACAUUCUUCAAAGAAUCCACAUCCCCCCCCCCCCCCCAUAUGGCAGGAGAAAAAGUUAAGUUUUUCCUGCCCAUCGCUCAAUGGCUCAAUCGCAUCGCUCUCCAGGCAACACCGUAAGGAGGAGCAACCUGCCAUUUCGAUAUAUCAUAGCUGUGUUUGUGCCCUCACUCAUGGUCCAGACUUUUUUCAAAUAGGACAUGAAGUUUGUCUGCAGCGAGUGUUUUGGUAGAAACUGCGCCUCCCAUUCAUUAUAAUAGGAAAUGACCGCAGACAAGUGCGCACACCAUCUUUGGAUCUUGAGUGUGACGCGAUCGGGAGGGGGAGGCGGUCGCACUGGGGGCGGCGCGACACGGCUCGGGCCCGACAGUGCCCCAACGGGGUCCUAGUUAUUAGGGCCCGAGCGUAGCUGCUAAGCAGCUGCGAGAGCCCUAUUAUUCCCCAAGUGGUUUUUUAGGGCCCGAGCGUAGCUGCUAAGCAGCUGCGAGAGCCCUCUUGUUCCUGCAUGUUUCCUUCUUUUGUUAUUAUUAUUAUUUUUCCUCCCCUUUGAACUGGAAAAUGGCCCACUUCCCACUGGCGAAAACUCAUGAAAUUUGGCAGGACGACCGGGCCUGGUGAAAAAUUUGAUAUUCUGAAGUCGCCCAAACAAUAAAAUGCAAAAUGGCUCCAUAGCGCCCCCUAAGGUGGAAAUUCACACUAUUGACUGUCACGCCUGUACGCUUUGUCAAAAUGACACAAAAUUUGACACACAUAUGUAUCUCAAUAAGAUCUACAAAAAAGUCAGUGCGGGCGUAUCUGUCAAAUGUACGGUUAAAGGGCUAUUUCGCAUUUUUUGGCGAUCCGUACACAUUGGAAUUUCGCUAACUCCUCCGAAGGCUUUUGUUCCACCGGCACCACAUUUGCUCAGGCCAAUCUACACCCCAUGGCCAUUAAAAGUUAUUCAAAUCAUGACGCUGCACCCCACGGUUUAGGUUCUAGGGGGCGCCAAAGAUAACCCGAAAAUCCACAUAUUUAAAAGUCUUAUAACUUUUUAUUUUUGUCCUCACUGGCCUCCAAGUUUUCUAGGAUGAUGCAAUGUCCAGCCAUCAACACAUUUGUGAAGGAAUUUUUACUCCCCAAAAGAGCGCCCCCCCAUGGCAGGAGAAAAAAGUCCAUUUUUUCUUGUCCCCUAAGGUGAAAAUACACAUUGUUGAGUGUCACGCCUCUACACUUUGUCAAAAUGACACAAAAUUUGGCACACAGGUGUGUCAAUAAGAUCUACGAAAAAGUCAAUGCGGGCGUAUCUGUCAAAUGUACGGUUAAAGGGCUAUUUCGCAUUUUUUGGCGAUCCGUACACAUUGGAAUUUCGCUAACUCCUCCGAAGGCUUUUGUUCCACCGGCACCACAUUUGCUCAGGCCAAUCUACACCCCAUGGCCAUUAAAAGUUAUUCAAAUCAUGACGCUGCACCCCACGGUUUAGGUUCUAGGGGGCGCCAAAGAUAACCCGAAAAUCCACAUAUUUAAAAGUCUUAUAACUUUUUAUUUUUGUCCUCACUGGCCUCCAAGUUUUCUAGGAUGAUGCAAUGUCCAGCCAUCAACACAUUUGUGAAGGAAUUUUUACUCCCCAAAAGAGCGCCCCCCCAUGGCAGGAGAAAAAAGUCCAUUUUUUCUUGUCCCCUAAGGUGAAAAUACACAUUGUUCAGUGUCACGCCUCUACACUUUGUCAAAAUGACACAAAAUUUGGCACACAGGUGUAUCUCAAUAAUAUCUACGAAAAAGUCAAUGCGGGCGUAUCUGUCAAAUGUACGGUUAAAGGGCUAUUUCGCAUUUUUUGGCGAUCCAUACACAUUGGAAUUUCGCUAACUCCUCCGAAGGCUUUUGUUCCACCGGCACCACAUUUGCUCAGGCCAAUCUACACCCCAUGGCCAUUAAAAGUUAUUCAAAUCAUGACGCUGCACCCCACGGUUUAGGUUCUAGGGGGCGCCAAAGAUAACCCUAAAAUCCACAUAUUUAAAAGUCUUAUAACUUUUUAUUUUUGUCCUCACUGGCCUCCAAGUUUUCUAGGAUGAUGCAAUGUCCAGCCAUCAACACAUUUGUGAAGGAAUUUUUACUCCCUAAAAGAGUGCCCCCCCAUGGCAGGAGAAAAAGUCAAGUUUUUCCGGCCCAUCGCUCAACGGCUCAAACACAUCGCUCUCUCGGCAAAACCGAAAGGAGGAGAAACUUGCCAUUUGGAUAUAUCCUAGCUGUGUUGGUGCCCUCACUCAUGGUCCAGACUUUUUUCAAAUAGGACAUGUAGUUUGUCUGCAGCGAGCGUUUUGGUAGAAACUGCGCCUCCCAUUCAUUAUAAUGGUAAAUGACCACAGACAAGUGUGCACACCAUCUUUGGACCUUGAGUGUCACGCGAUCGGGAGGGAGAGGCGGUCGUGUUGGGGGCGGCGCGACACAGCUCGGGCCCGCCAGUGCCCCAACGGGGUCCUAGUCUUUGUUUCUUUCUUUCUUUUUUCUUUUUCCUCCCCUUUGAACUGGAAAAUGGCCCACUUCCCACUGGCGAAAACUCAUGAAAUUUGGCAGGACGACCGGGCCUGGUGAAAAAUUCGAUAUUCUGAAGUCGCCCAAACAAUAAAAUGCAAAAUGGCUCCAUAGCGCCCCCUAAGGUGGAAAUUCACACUAUUGACUGUCACGCCUGUACGCUUUGUCAUAUUGACACAAAAAUUGACACACACAUGUAUCUCAAUAAGAUCUACAAAAAAGUCAGUGCGGCCGUAUCUGUCAAAAUUACGGUUAAAGGGUUAUUUCGCAUUUUUUGCCGAUCCGCACACAUUGGAAUUUCGCUAACUCCUCCGAAGGCUUUCGUUCCACCGGCACCACAUUUGCUCAGGCCAAUCUACACCCCGUGGCCAUUAAAAGUUAUCAAAAUCAUGACGCUGCACCCCAAGGUUUAGGUUCUAGGGGGCGCCAAAGAUAACACUAAAAUCCACAUAUUUAAAGUCUUAUAACUUUUUAUUUUUGUCCUCACUGGCCUCCAAGUUUUCUAGGAUGAUGCAAUGUCCAGCCAUCAACACAUUUGUGAAGGAAUUUUUACUCCCCAAAAGAGCGCCCCCCAUGGCAGGAGAAAAAAGUCCAUUUUUUCUUGUCCCCUAAGGUGAAAAUACACAUUGUUGAGUGUCACGCCUAUACGCUUUGUCAAAAUGACACAAAAAUUGACACACACAUGUAACUCAAUAAGAUCUACAAAAAAGUCAAUGCGCGCGUAUCUGUCAAAUGUACGGUUAAAGGGUUAUUCCGCAUUUUUUGCCGAUACGCACACAUUGGAAUUUCGCCAACUCCUCCGAAGGCUUUCGUUCCACCGGCACCACAUUUGCUCAGGCCAAUCUACACCCCAUGGCCAUUAAAAGUUAUUCAAAUCAUGAUGCUGCACCCCAUGGUUUAGGUUCUAGGGGGCGCCAAAAAUAACCCUAAAAUCCACAUUCUUAAAUGUUUUAUAACUUUUUAUUUUUGUCCUCACUGGCCUCCAAGUUUUCUAGGAUGAUGCAAUGUCCAGCCAUCAACACAUUUGUGAAGGAAUUUUUACUCCCCAAAAGAGCGCCCCCCCAUGGCAGGAGAAAAAAGUCCAUUUUUUCUUGUCCCAUAAGGUGAAAAAACACAUUGUUGACUGUCAUACCUGUACGCUUUGUCAUAUUGACACAAAAUUUGACAAUCACAUGUAUCUCAAUAAGAUCUACGAAAAAGUCAAUGCGCGCGUAUCUGUAAAAUGUACGGUUAAAGGGCUAUUUUGCAUUUUUUGCCGAUUCGCACACAUUGGAAUGUGGCUAACUCCUCCUAAGGCUUUCGUCCCACUGACACCAAAUUUGCUCAGGCCAAUCUACACCCCAUGGCCAUUCAAAGUUGUAAAAAUCAUGACGCUGCACCCCACGGUUUACGUUCUAGGGGGCGCCAAAGAUGACCCAAAUAUCCACAUUCUUAAAAGAAUCCACAUCCCCCCCCCCAUCCCCCAUCCCCCAUGGCAGGAGAAACAGUCAAGUUUUUCCUGCCCAUCACUCAAUGGCUCAAUCGCAUCACUCUCCCGGCAACACCGUAACGAGGAGCAACUUGCCGUUUGGAUAUAUCCUAGCUGUGUUUGUGCCCUCACUCAUGGUCCAGACUUUUUUCAAAUAGGACAUGUAGUUUGUCUGCAGCGAGUGUUUUGGUAGAAACUGCGCCUCCCAUUCAUUAUAAUGGGAAAUGACCACAGACAAGUGCGCACACCAUCUUUGGACCUUGAGUGUGACGCGAUCGGGAGGGGGAGGCGGUCGCGCUGGGGGCGGCGCAACGCGGCUCGGGCCCGACAGUGCCCCACCGGGGUCCUAGUUAUUUUUCCUCCCCUUUGAACUGGAAAAUGGCCCACUUCCCACUGGCGAAAACUCAUGAAAUUUGGCAGGACGACCGGGCCUGGUGAAAAAUUUGAUAUUCUGAAGUCGCCCAAACAAUACAAUGCAAAAUGGCUCCAUAGCGCCCCCUAAGGUGAAAAAUUCACCUGACGCCUGUACGCUUUGUCAAAAUUACACAAAAAUUGACACACACAUGUAUCUCAAUAAGAUCUACAAAAAAGUCAGUGCGGGCGUAUCUGUCAAAUGUACGGUUAAAGGGUUAUUGUGCAUUUUUUGCCGAUCCGCACACAUUGGAAUUUCGCUAACUCCUCCGAAGGCUUUCGUUCCACCGGCACCACAUUUGCUCAGGCCAAUCUACACCCCAUGGCCAUUAAAAGUUAUUCAAAUCAUGACGCUGCACCCCACGGUUUAUGUUCUAGGGGGCGCCAAAGAUAACCCUAAAAUCCACAUAUUUCAAAGUCUUAUAACUUUUUAUUUUUGCCCUCACUGGCCUCCAAGUUUUCUAGGAUGAUGCAAUGUCCAGCCAUCAACACAUUUGUGAAGGAAUUUUUACUCCCCAAAAGAGCGCCCCCCCAUGGCAGGAGAAAAAAGUCCAUUUUUUCUUGUUCCAUAAGGUGAAAAUUCACACUAUUGACUGUCACGCCUGUACGCUUUGUCAAAAUUACACAAAAAUUGACACACACAUGUAUCUCAAUAAGAUCUACAAAAAAGUCAGUGCGGGCGUAUCUGUCAAAUGUACGGUUAAAGGGUUAUUGUGCAUUUUUUGCCGAUCCGCACACAUUGGAAUUUCGCUAACUCCUCCGAAGGCUUUCGUUCCACCGGCACCACAUUUGCUCAGGCCAAUCUACACCCCAUGGCCAUUAAAAGUUAUUCAAAUCAUGACGCUGCACCCCACGGUUUAGGUUCUAGGGGGCGCCAAAGAUAACCCUAAAAUCCACAUAUUUAAAAGUCUUAUAACUUUUUAUUUGUGUCUUCUCUGGCCUCCAAGUUUUCUAGGAUGAUGCAAUGUCCAGCCAUCAACACAUUUGUGAAGGAAUUUUUACUCCCUAAAAGAGCGCCCCCCCAUGGCAGGAGAAAAAAGUCAAUUUUUUCUUGUCCCAUAAGGUGAAAAUACACAUUGUUGACUGUCAUACCUGUAUGCUUUGUCAUAUUGACACAAAAUUUGACACACACAUGUAUCUCAAUAAGAU